GCUUUUGACAUUAAGCAUUGCAAUAGAUAAAUAAAAUAAGCUAUUGCAACACUUAUUUUAUUUCCUUCAUUUUUCACAAAAAAUUUUAUCAAUUCCACCAAAAGAAAAAAACAUUUUAAUAAAAUUCAACAUUUUUCUCCUUAAGCUUAAACUGACUAUUCUACCAAAACAAAACAAAACAAGAUUAAACCUACGCUCUAAAUCUCUAAAUCCCUCAAUCCGUUACCUGUGUGGGACUUUCAAUCGACGGCCGCCGUGGAAUCAUCGACGAUCUGGUAGCUGGUAAUGAAUGGGAGGACUAUUCAAGAUAUGUGAAUUUGGAUGGAGUUGAUGUGACUAUUCAUCUCUGAAUUCUGAACCCAAUCUACCCACAGCAUCAUGAGAAGUCUGAUCAACAUCUCCCCUAUUCUGAACCCGAGAAGAAAUUACCAUUUCAUGUGCUGCUUUCAAAUUCUGCUGAGAUUGCACAACACCAGUAGACUGAACCUGAGUACUGACUCCUUUUUUUCGAGCUGAAUUGUGGUCUCUAAAAUUAAUAGCACCCAACAUAUGAGCAGCUUCAACACCAGAGUAAUCACCUAACAUCUGAGCAACUUUAGCACCAGUGUAAUUACCCAACAACUGACCCUUAAGUUCAGAACCUUGAGCAGCAGUAACCUUCAGGUUAUCAGCCUUCUGAGUAGAAUUCUGAACACAACCAGCUGAAUUCUGAGUUUCAUGUUUCCACUGAGAAAUCGCCUUUGAGGAAGCGUUUACUAAGACUGCUAGUCCUAAGGAGCAUAAACAAUGUAUGAAGAGCUUCCUGCUGUUAGUAACAAGACAAAAAGUUCUCACUGCUCAGAAGAGUGUUAAUGUCAUCACAAAUGUUUCAACAAAACCUCGAAAUAUGACUUUGCUUUGUAAACCAAAACUUAUGAAGGAGAUGCUAUUGGAUUGGAAACAAAGUUGUAAAGGGAGCUUCAAAUGCCGAUGGUGAACAAAAUGGAGGUUCAGCAACAUUUGCAAAAGAUUGCAAAGAUGACUGAGUCUUAGAUCUUCAAAGGCCUUGUAGUGUAAUAGUUUGGUAAAGCUCCUUUGAAGCAUCAGAUGUUUUAGGUUGACCACAUCUGCUGAUAAGAAUGUGUUAAUGCAGUAGGUAGGAGGUUUACUUCAUUAUGCUUAUGAGUAGUGCUCUUUGUUGUCCAUAAGGAGUGUUUGGACCCCAAACGUUGUUUUGUAUACAGAUAGUAUUAUAUUUAAGUAUACUUUCUAAA